UACGAAGGGGGCUAGCGUUGCUCGGAAUCACUGGGCGUAAAGGGCGCGUAGGCGGCUUGCCAAGUCGGGGGUGAAAGCCCGUGGCUCAACCACGGAAUGGCCUUCGAUACUGGCAGGCUUGAGACCGGAAGAGGACAGUGGAACUGCGAGUGUAGAGGUGAAAUUCGUAGAUAUUCGCAAGAACACCAGUGGCGAA
rnacentral:rRNA from 1 species